CGCGUGCAGGAUGAAGGCUUCGGGUUGUAAACUGCUUUUGUACGGAACGAAAAGACUCUGGAUAAUACCUGGGGUUCAUGACGGUACCGUAAGAAUAAGCACCGGCUAACUACGUGCCAGCAGCCGCGGUAAUACGUAGGGUGCAAGCGUUAAUCGGAAUUACUGGGCGUAAAGCGUGCGCAGGCGGUGAUGUAAGACAGAUGUGAAAUCCCCGGGCUCAACCUGGGAACUGCAUUAGUGACUGCAUCGCUGGAGUGCGGCAGAGGGGGAUGGAAUUCCGCGUGUAGCAGUGAAAUGCGUAGAUAUGCGGAGGAACACCGAUGGCGAAGGCAAUCCCCUGGGCCUGCACUGACGCUCAUGCACGAAAGCGUGGGGAGCAAACAGGAUUAGAUACCCUGGUAGUCCACGCCCUAAAAUUGUCAACUGGUUGUUGGGAAUUCNUUUCUCAGUACGAACUACGCGUGAAGUUGACCGC
rnacentral:rRNA from 1 species